UAAAUGGCCAUCUUCCUUUUAAAAUCAAUUUAUCACCAAUUUAAUUUCCUAUUUUUGUAACACAUGCAGUUGACAUUUCUAUAGGAACCAACUACUGUUAACCAACUUAUUUUGUGGACCUUUGAAUUGUGUUGUCAUUUCUAUCAUAUUUCGCAGCUGAUAUUUUUUUUUCGUGUAUCGCCAAUUCUAUUAUAUUUCACUUAAGAUUUUUUUUCAUGUAAAUAUAAGAAAGACGAUGAGGUAUGAUUGCCAAUAAGACUUUACUCUUCUAAAGAGACUUAAUGACUCAAAAAAUUAACAGCUUAAGGUAACUGUACGACCGUCAACGAUGAGCAAACCCCAAACCGCAUUGUCAUCCAUAAAAGGCCACAAAAUCACAUAUGCAAAACAAUUCAAACGAAAAAACUGAUAUUUUUUUGUGUAUCUCAUUUCUAUCAUAUGUCACUUAGAAAUUUUUUUUGCCAUAUAUAUAUAUAUAUAUAUAUAUAUAUAUAUAUAUAUAGAAGAUAUGGUAUGAUUGCCAAUGAGACAACUCUCCACAAGUGACUAAAUAACACAGAAAUUAAUAACUAUAGGUAACUGUAUGGCCCUCAAUGAUGAACAAAGCCCAAACUGCAUAGCUAUUUAGGCACAGAAAUCAUGUAUGUAAAACAAUUCAAACCACAAAACUUACGACCAUACAGACAUUUCUAUCAUAUUUCUCAGCUGAUAUUUUUUUCUCAUAUUGCCAUUUCUAUCAUAUUUCACGAGACUUUUUCUGCUUUUAUAUUAAAAAAAAAGAAGAUGUGGUAUGAUUGCCAAUGAGACAACUCUCCACAAGAAACUCAAUGACACAGAAAUUAACAGCUAUAUGUAACUGUACGGCCCUCAAUGAUGAGCAAAAACCAAAGUGCAUAAUCAGCUUUGAUAGGCCCAGAAAUCACAAAUGUAAAACAAUUCAAACGAACACACUUAAGGACCAUUUAGCCAUUUUUAGCAUUUUUGGAUAAAUAUCGUGAUUAUCUAAUUUUUCGGAUUAUUUCGCAAUUCUAUUUUGAAAUACUCGUGAUUUAUAUUC
rnacentral:lncRNA from 1 species